rnacentral:siRNA from 1 species
AUCUAAACCAAGAUGGAACGGUCG